rnacentral:misc_RNA from 1 species
UGCCCCUCACUUGCCAAUACGUCUAGAUCAGCCAGGGCGUCGGCAUGUGUAGCGUAUUAUGUUGGGCUCUCUCGAGAUAAGGAUACGAUGUCCCUUUAUCGGUUGGUUUCCUGUGUGCGCGGCCCGUUCGUUUUUUUGUUACUUCGCAUCGUUCGGUGCAUUCUGGGGGCUGUGUUGGCUUUUGGUGGCUUGCUUGGCCUUUUGGCUUUGCUUGUUGCUACUUGUCGGGCUGCUUUCGGGAAUGUCGACCGUGGAGGUGCAUGAGUGGUGUUUGGUUUGUUACGUGUGGAUGGCUGUUUGCUUGUGCAACAACGUUCAUGCUGCAUACCUCUUCAGUUUUGCGGCAAGGCUUGGUUUGGCUUGUGCAUAUUGUGGGUUUCCUGUGUUGCAUACCUAGUUGAUGGAAAAGUGUGGGUUUUACGAUUUUCAUUUUCGUCUUGCGUCGUUCUUUCGGCGUGGGAUGAACAAUGAAGCGAUCUUUAUGAUCCAUCGUGCUGUUGCGUUUGCAACAAUGAUGUGGCCUAUGAAGCAUCGUUUGGUCUCUUGUAUACGGAAGCUCAUUUGGGCUUGGGUCUUUAUAAGAUCUUCGUUAUGCCCUUGUUAAGCGUUCUCGCUUCUCCUAAACGAUUG